rnacentral:rRNA from 1 species
GUCAGGAGUGAAAGGCUACGGCUCAACCGUAGUAAGCUCUUGAAACUGGGAGACUUGAGUGCAGGAGAGGAGAGUGGAAUUCCUAGUGUAGCGGUGAAAUGCGUAGAUAUUAGGAGGAACACCAGUUGCGAAGGCGGCUCUCUGGACUGUAACUGACGCUGAGGCACGAAAGCGUGGGGAGCAAACAGGAUUAGAUACCCUGGUAGUCCACGCUGUAAACGAUGAGUACUAGGUGUCGGGGGUUACCCCC